rnacentral:rRNA from 1 species
CUAUGGAAGCUUGCUUCCACUGAGAAGAUAGUGGCGGACGGGUGAGUAACACGUGGGUAACCUGCCCAUAAGAGGGGGAUAACAUCCGGAAACGGGUGCUAAUACCGCAUAGUUUUCUUGAUCGCAUGAUUGAGAAAGGAAAGACGGCCUUUGUGCUGUCGCUUAUGGAUGGACCCGCGGCGUAUUAGUUAGUUGGUGAGGUAACGGCUCACCAAGACGAUGAUACGUAGCCGACCUGAGAGGGUGAUCGGCCACAUUGGGACUGAGACACGGCCCAAACUCCUACGGGAGGCAGCAGUAGGGAAUCUUCCGCAAUGGACGAAAGUCUGACGGAGCAACGCCGCGUGAGUGAAGAAGGUUUUCGGAUCGUAAAACUCUGUUGUCAGAGAAGAACAAGUCGGAGAGUAACUGCUCCGGCCUUGACGGUAUCUGACCAGAAAGCCACGGCUAACUACGUGCCAGCAGCCGCGGUAAUACGUAGGUGGCAAGCGUUGUCCGGAUUUAUUGGGCGUAAAGCGAGCGCAGGCGGUUCCUUAAGUCUGAUGUGAAAGCCCACGGCUCAACCGUGGAAGG